UCUACCCCAGCUCUCAGCACGGUGCGUCUCUUCCACGUGGGUCCCAAACUAUCGCUGUAGUUGGCGCUUGGGAGUGUACGGUGGAGAUAACGGACAUAUUCUGUACCUUUAAGCUCACACUCUGAGGGAGGUAAGCAGGCAUAAACGAAGAGCAGAGGGAAUUUUGAUCAAUCAGAAAUGUAAACCCUUAAUCAUUCAAUUAAUGGUAUUUAUUGAGUGCUCAAUCUGUGCGUUUACUAAGCGCUUGCAAAACUACAGUACGGCAAGAUGGUGGACAUGAUCCCUGCCCGUAGCAUUUGUUUUAGAAUUCCUUUCUCAGGGCACUUCUUUUUUUCCCUAGACGAACCUCCUUGCCUCGUGGGUUCUAACAAUCUGUUUUUAAUAUCAAUCGAUUUUAUUUAUCGAGUGCUUACCGUGUUCAGAGCAUCGUACUGUAUGAUUGGGAGAUUGCGAUAUAACAAUAUAACGGACACAAAUAUAACAGACGCGUUCCCCGACUACGCAGCAUAGGUGGAUUCUGCCUGUCUCCCCAGAGGAUUAAGGAACUUCAUUCUUUCCUGGGACGGUUGAAAACGACGCCUCCGUUGCUUGUCGCUAAGUCUGAACCAUCUCCUAAAAGCACUUUUAUAAGUCCAGAAAGAGACAGACGGAUUCCUUGUAAAACCCACAGCGGACCUUUCUGAGAAAGGUAGUAUCCGCCUUCACUUCAGGUCACCCCGAAUGCUGCGCUUGGCCAUCGUAACAGUGUAUUGAUCCUGUCUUGCCUUCUGUCAAUAGAGCUGCUCCUGAUCUUCAUUCCGGGACUCACCCAUCUGGAAAAUCCUCUAGGUGUUCUCACCCAACAGAAUGUGUCCCGGAGUGGAAAGCUGAAAUCUAAAUAGAACGUGUUUCACCUGAAA